UAACGGAGUGGGUAAUACCGAAUGCCGUAUCGAGGGGCAUCCUCUUGAUACGAAAGUUACGGCGCUCCGGGAGGGGCCCACGUAGUAUUAGCUAGUUGGUGAGGUAACGGCUCACCAAGGCCAAGAUGCUUAGCAGGUGUGAGAGCACGACCUGCGCCACUGGCACUGGGACACUGGCCAGACUCCUACGGGAGGCUGCAGUCGAGGAUCUUCGGCAAUGGGCGCAAGCCUGACCGAGCGAUGCCGCGUGUGCGAUGAAGGCCUUCGGGUUGUAAAGCACUGUCGAGGGAGAGAAAAGCCCGCAAGGGUUUGAUCGAUCCCUGGAGGAAGCACGGGCUAAGUUCGUG
rnacentral:rRNA from 1 species